CAACGUACAAGUGGUCGACCGUUAUCGUCUUCGCGAGGGUGCCUGGAUUUUUCGGCCGGCUUUUUGCUCCGAUCCUCGUCUCGAUCCACGUCCCUGCGCAAAAGUCACGCGGUCUCCGAUACACAGGAUCAUUGGGCGAUAUAUAACGAAGCAAGCGAUUAAUCUUACGUUAGAAAAGGCGUUCGAAGCGGUGGCCGUUUGCAUCGAUUCAACGUUGGAAUCGUCAAAUUGCCGAAGGCCGUGCACUUCUUAUCGUUUGCGAAUCGUGCGACACUACAUUGUAAUAUUCUGCCUGUGCGUUGUAUAUAGAGUAUAAGAGUACAUAAGUUAAUGUCGAUACUUGAAUGCUUCGGUGCUUGGCGUGUAAAUUUGCGCGCUAAUAUAAGCAAAAAAUAUACCUCCGCUUUCGAGU
rnacentral:misc_RNA from 1 species